GGCUCAGGAUGAACGCUAGCGGCAGGCUUAAUACAUGCAAGUCGUGGGGCAGCAUGAGUAGCAAUACUUGAUGGCGACCGGCAAACGGGUGAGGAACACGUACACAACCUUCCUUCAAGCGGGGAAUAGCCCAGAGAAAUUUGGAUUAAUACCCCAUAACAUAUUUGAUAAGGCAUCUUAUUAAUAUUAAAGCUUCGGCACUUGAUGAUGGGUGUGCGGCUGAUUAGAUAGUUGGCGGGGUAACGGCCCACCAAGUCUACGAUCAGUAGCUGAUGUGAGAGCAUGAUCAGCCACACGGGCACUGAGACACGGGCCCGACUCCUACGGGAGGCAGCAGUAAGGAAUAUUGGACAAUGGACGAAAGUCUGAUCCAGCCAUGCCGCGUGAAGGAUUAAGGUCCUCUGGAUUGUAAACUUCUUUUAUAUGGGACGAAAAAAGGGCAUUCUUGUUCACUUGACGGUACCAUAUGAAUAAGCACCGGCUAACUCCGUG
rnacentral:rRNA from 1 species